GUUUCUGUAGUGUAGAGGUUAUCACGUUCGCUUUACACGCAAAGGUCCUUGGUUCGAAACCGAGCAGAAACA